UAAGGAAUAUUGGACAAUGCCCGCAAGGGUGAUCCAGCCAUGCCGCGUGCAGGAAGACGGCCCUAUGGGUUGUAAACUGCUUUUACACCGGAGAAAACCCCCCUACGUGUAGGGGGCUGAUAGUAUGGUGAGAAUAAGCAUCGGCUAACUUCGUGCCAGCAGCCGCGGUAAGACGAAGGAUGCAAGCGUUAUCCGGAUUCAUUGGGUUUAAAGGGAGCGUAGGCGGCCUUGUAAGUCAGUGGUGAAAUCUCUGGGCUUAACCCAGAAAUUGCCAUUGAUACUGCAGGGCUUGAGUACAGUUGCCGUUGGCGGAAUAUGACAUGUAGUGGUGAAAUACAUAGAGAUGUCAUAGAACACCGAUUGCGAAGGCAGCUAACGAAACUGUAACUGACGCUGAGGCUCGAAAGUGUGGGGAUCAAACAG
rnacentral:rRNA from 1 species